CUUCGUUAACCUGUUGGGGACAUAUGUAAUGAACGUGGGCAUCGAUAGCGCCCGCUGUGAGGAUCAUUUUUUCCCCAGCGAUGACCUCCGUGGACGAGCCGAUGACGAGGGACGGGUGCACGCCUGCCAUGACGUCUGGGUUGCCCGCCUUGCCAAUUCCGGCGAUAUAACCGUUCUUGACACCGACGUCCGCCUAUACCCGCAACGGUAAGGCCAGGGAGAUAACCGAUGGAAAGGGGAGGACAGACCUUGUAGAUACCCGACCAGUCGACAAUAAGCGCGUUUGUGAUCACAAGGUCUAGGGUCUCGGACGACGAUCGAUUGGUCGCUUGUCCCAUCCCUUCCCGUAUG
rnacentral:sRNA from 1 species